rnacentral:rRNA from 1 species
AUUGAACGCUGGCGGCAGGCUUAACACAUGCAAGUCGAGCGGAGAUGAGGUGCUUGCACCUUAUCUUAGCGGCGGACGGGUGAGUAAUGCUUAGGAAUCUGCCUAUUAGUGGGGGACAACAUUCCGAAAGGAAUGCUAAUACCGCAUACGUCCUACGGGAGAAAGCAGGGGAUCUUCGGACAUUGCGCUAAUAGAUGAGCAUAAGUCGGAUUAGCUAGUUGGUGGGGUAAAGGCCUACCAAGGCGACGAUCUGUAGCGGGUCUGAGAGGAUGAUCCGCCACACUGGGACUGAGACACGGCCCAGACUCCUACGGGAGGCAGCAGUGGGGAAUAUUGGACAAUGGGGGGAACCCUGAUCCAGCCAUGCCGCGUGUGUGAAGAAGGCCUUAUGGUUGUAAAGCACUUUAAGCGAGGAGGAGGCUACUGAGACUAAUACUCUUGGAUAGUGGACGUUACUCGCAGAAUAAGCACCGGCUAACUCUGUGCCAGCCGCCGCCGUAAAAC